rnacentral:rRNA from 1 species
GACGAACGCUGGCGGCGUGCUUAACACAUGCAAGUCGAACGGAAAGGCCCUGCUUGCAGGGUACUAGAGUGGCGAACGGGUGAGUAACACGGGGGUGAUCUGCCCUGCACUUCGGGAUAAGCGUGGGAAACUGGGACUAAUACCGGAUAGGACCGCCCUUUAGUGUGUGGUGGAAAGUGUUUUCGGUGUAGGAUGAGCUCGCGGCCUAUCAGCUUGUUGGUGGGGUAAUGGGCUACCAAGGCGGCGAAGGGUAGCCGGCCUGAGAGGGUGUACGGCGACAUUGGGACUGAGGUACGGCACAGACUCCUACGGGUGGCAGCAGUGGGGAAUAUUGCACCAUGGGCGCCAGCCUGAUGCAGCGAGGCCUCGUGUGGGAUGAAGGCCUUCUGGUUGUAAACUCCUUUCGCUAGGGACGAAGCUUUUUGUGACGGUACCUAGAUAAGAAGCACCGGCUAACUACGUG